rnacentral:rRNA from 1 species
UACGUAGGCAGCGAGCGUUGUUCGGAGUUACUGGGCGUAAAGAGUGCGUAGGCGGUUGGCUAAGUUUGGUGUGAAAUCUCCCGGCUCAACUGGGAGGGUGCGCCGAAAACUGGCUGGCUGGAGUGUGGGAGAGGCUAGCGGAAUUCCUGGAGUAGCGGUGAAAUGCGUAGAUAUCAGGAGGAACACCUGCGGUGUAGACGGCUGGCUGGACCACUACUGACGCUGAGGCACGAAAGCGUGGGGAGCAAACAGG